rnacentral:misc_RNA from 1 species
GCCUAAGGCAGGACUGGUGACUGGGGUUAAGUCGUAACAAGGUAUCCCUACGAGAACGUGGGGAUGGAUUACCUCCUUUCUACGGAGUACACUUGUCUUUUAAUACUAUAAAAAGACUUAUAACCAAAAUCAAUAGACCUGUUUUAUUUAAUAUUGUCAUGGCUUUUAUUAAUAGGUCAAAAGCUAUAUAUCUAGUUUUGAGA